GGACAGCUGGCCUGAACUGGCCAAAGGGACAUUCCAUAGCAUAGACUACCAUACUCAGUAUGUACAUAAACUGGAAAGAGUUGGCUGGAAGCCCUCUGAUUGCUGCUGGGGGACAGGCUGGGCACUGAUCAGCAGACAGGGACAUGUCAAUCUGACAACACCAUCAAUACAACCUUUCUCUGUGAGCAGUCACAAUGAACAGAUGAAUCAGAAGGAAGAUAUGAAUUAAAACCAGCCUACCCACUGUGGGACAGAGUGGGAAAGAGAGAAAGCCUUGAUGUUGUGCAAGUUCACCUCACCCAGAAGUGGUGCUGCAUGCAGCCGCAUUGCACACAGGCAGGGCAAGCAGAGCAGACCCAGUGCCAGCCAGCAGCCAGUGGCUGCCAGACAGCUGUGAUGGGCAACACAGCUACAGCAUCACACCAGGAAGUCAACUCAGUGGGUCAGGGUAAUUUCAGCAGAGUAAAAAACAUCAGACAAUACAAAAGCAAGAACAUCAAGACAUGAUUGGUUCACACGGCUGAGGACAUGCAGGAGUGGACAUGGUAACUCUAGAGGAAGCCAUCAGACCAGGAUUUUCAGAUUUCGGGGCUUGCUGCUGGACCCCGGACACCUCACACUUUUAAAAAGAGGCAGAAAGGAUCCUGAAACCAUCAAGAGUUUUCAACAAAGUUUUUUUUAAUGGAAAUGUCAAGGCAAAAUCAUCUAUUCAGGAUUGAGAGGGUAGGUGUAACUUCUUUCGUGCAAAGAAAUACCAUCCAUCUGAUGUAUUAGUACCAUUACUUUAUAAGUGUACUUUAUAGUCCUCCCAAAUCAAGCUUUAAUCCAUUUGAAUCCAGGCAUCAUAGCAUUUUCUGUAGCAAAGACUGCCAGGCUAAAAAUUAUGGGAGCUUAUAGGGCUUAAAGGAGGAAGUAUAGCCUUGUAUGACUCCUAGGAGUCUGGGGUGGGAGAAAUCCGGCCUCAAGCUGCUGGGAUGCAGCAAACAACAGUGGAGCCUCCAGCAGAAGGGUUAGAGACCUUCUGCACUGAGCAGAGCAGGAAGAAUGAAUCAUUAAAAAGAACUUUUAAAUCAUGAAGAUAAAACAGAGAUUCACAAAAUGGAUGUGAUUCCCAAAGAAUAUAAUCUAUCUAAUGGAGAAAAGGUAUACUUCAGAACAAGUUUGUGUACACAUACACAAGCAUAUGCUGAACUGAUUUAAGCACUGUUCAGUAAGUUUAAUCUUGUUCUGUUUUGUUAUAUGCGUAAAUGGAAAAAAUAUGGCAUAUGAUAAUAAAUCAACAGACAACUGAAAGUAACCAGACAUCAAAGGUUUUGGAAGGCUAAUAAAGUGUUUCCCUGUCCUGGAGAGGGUCUGAUCCUUCCCCUCAACUGAAUUCCAGAACCAGUUAUGGAAGCACAGCAACUUUUUUGGCUACAAUGGAUCUAAGAGAUAACAACCACAGGUCCAGUCCUGAUGGAGAGUGACAUGAAGCAAAAGU